rnacentral:rRNA from 1 species
UAGUUGGUGGAGUGAUUUGUCUGCUUAAUUGCGAUAACGAACGAGACCUUAACCUACUAAAUAGCUACGUGAACCCUAGGUUCAUGGGCAGCUUCUUAGAGGGACUAUAUAAGUCAAUUAUAUGGAAGUUUGAGGCAAUAACAGG